rnacentral:lncRNA from 1 species
CAUCAAUUUCUCUCUAUCAAAAUGCAUUACUGCCAGUGUAAAGAACAUAGAAUAUCUAUUUAUUCUGUGACUGCAAAUGUAAGAAAAACAAACUAGGGGAUUCUGGGUAUACACAGUGGAGAGGACUGGGGGCAGGGCAGGAGGGAGAUGCUGUUGCCACAGCCUGGUGUAGCCUUGCAGUGUUGUACAGGUAGGCAAAAUACAUCUAUUUAACUCUAAUAUUGUAAAUUGCCAUCCAAACAUGGACAUCUGGUUUGAUAUCACGUUUUCAUGGCAGGAUAACCUCCACAGACAUAAGCACUACAUUUAAUGAUUGCAUAUUUGUAUCCCCCAUGUUUUUAUUGAAGAGAAACAUUUUACUGUAUCUUGUCACUAUAGAACAUUUCUGUAACAUUAAAUUGCACAUUACAACACAUUUUAGGAUCUAGUUGAAAGGUAAGGAUUGACCUCAAUAUAGUUCUCUCAAAAAUACUUAGUCCAAAAAAAAAAAAAGCAAAAUAAAUUUUUUGCACAAACAAAACUAGAGGCAUAUCCUUGGAAAUCAGGGAUAAUAAAAUUGAAUUCCCUGUUUAUAUUUGGUAUUGCACAUAUAAAGCUCAAUUUUUUUUAUUUUUUUUUUACAAUUUCUGGUAAAGUGCAAACAAGAUGGUGUGGUUGUGAAUUUUCACAUAUUCACUGCAUAAUUGAGAAAUAUUAGGCCAAUUUAGCAAAACUGCAUAUGUUUCUUGUCCCACAUUCUUGUCAAUUAAUCAAAGAUCACCGUUUAGCUAAUAUGCCCCUUAUGUUAUUGCUUCUAUACAACCUCUGCUUAAUGCACUGUCAUGCACAACACACAUUGCUGGCAAGCUCAGCUUCUUGUCGGAGUGCACAUGUUAAAGUAUACUGUAUGUUGCUGAAAAUGCCAGCAACAUAGAUUAAAUGAUACUGAUACACUUGGUACCUAAAGAUUGUUUCUCCUUCAUCCAGCAUAGACCCAGCAGCAAACACUAACUAACCUGUCCCUCCCUCAAGAAAUACAGCCAGCAUCAAACGAGGGACCGACGCAGGUGGACAGCAAUUUGUCAUAAAACUUACAAUUGUAGCAGUAAGUAUAAAUAAAGAAAUCUUAAAUGACUAUCUAUCCAUUUUCCUAUAGAUGAAAUUAGUUAUAGGCAUUGCACGUUGAAAAGGAGUGUGUAUACCCAAAACAUCUGUGUUUUAGUCCUUCAUUACAUUUAGCACUAAGAAUUCUGAUUGUGCUUGUCCAAUUUGCUUUAUAGUUGAGAUUUCUAUAUCUACCAUUAAAUGAGCCAUGGUGGUUUGAUGAAUUAGCCGCACACACGUUAACCUGCUUUGUUCAUUUUGUAAACUGGCUAUUUCUAGAUAUAUAUAUUUUUUUAUACUGCGGUAUAUUUUUCCUCUUUUUUUUUUUUUGGGACAUAUUUUGUUGAAAAUAAUUAUGGCAUUAAAACAGGAGCCGUAAGUGUAAUAUACAGUUGCACUCUAAACCGUUUUGGUUUGCCAGAUAGUCAGUGUACUUUGUACCAUGGAUGUAAGUCGGUUUUUCAGGUUAGACGUUAAUUUAAGACAGCUAAUAUAAAAUAUGUAUAUAAAAAAUCAUGCCUUCUCAUUAGUUAAAUCUACACAACCUUGACGCAUGCAUUUUCAUAGAUGUCGCUAAAUCAAAUUGUGGUUUGACAGCUAUUUCUUUAACUAUAUACCUUAAACAACUAACCAGUUUUAUGUCUGAGAAUCCUUAUGUUUUUAUACAUUUAGAAAGUUCAGUGACUAAAAAAAACAUCUUCGGAAAUGCGACACUUUUAACAUUUUAUAUACUAACACUACUAUUUGAAUAGGAUAUAUAUAGCCUUUCAUUUCCGCUAUAUCUGAAUGUACCUUUCCUGGUUAAAUACUUUGUUAUUAUUAUUAUUAUUAUUAUAUGUGUGACAUUUUUUUAUUUUUCAGUGGGAAUUUAGGUAUCAUUUUGGUUUGUCAUGACAGAUUUAUAAAAUGUCACUCACUUUUGUGACAUAGACAGAUACAGUCAAAUUUAGCAACAAAGGACGUUUUGAUUUUCCACAGUGUUUCUGUUUCAUCAAAGCCCAGUGCAAUUCAGGUGGGCUGUUUGCUUAUAUUGUAUCAUAUUGGGCUCACUCUGUUAUAGGUUAUUUAAUGAGAGUUCCAUAUGUUCUCGAUAACCCGAGAGAGAAUUUUGUGGCAUGUGGGGCCCUGCUUGCAUGUUUGCCUCUGUCUGUCUUUGAUAAAAAUUUAUAAAUAUAAAAAUCAGUUUUUUUGUAACAAAAGGAGAGACUUAAAGCGGAUACAUAUCUCCACAUGACUUUUUAAAAGAUAAAGCUAAAAUAUUGGUAACAUUGUAUAAAAAGAGGCCUAUGAUUUGGGGAUUAAUAGCAUGCAAACCUAGGCUUGCCAUACGCUUUAAUGUAGGUGUCCAGAUCCGGCUGAAACUGGUUUGAGGCAGAUCAGCUCAUGUAACAAUGCAGCCACAGAGCUACAGUGGGAUAAAUCCUUCAUGGCAGACAGAGGAGGUAGCAGGAAGGUAUCAUCAUUUUAUUUCAGUAUGAAUUGCACUAUAGACACACAGCACUGGUAUGUAAAACCAGCAGAAAAAUAAAAACAAAACAUGCAUAUGUGUGCAUAUUUUGCAUUCAUGGGAAUGGGCUUGGUGGGUAUGUUAACAUGUCAGCUGUUUAUGAGCUGAGAUUUCAAAUAUACUGCCAUUGCAUUUGUCAUACAAGGGGUUAAUUAAGCAGAACAUUCUAAAAUCUAGAACAAAAAAAUGAGGGGGCAUCAGUAUUGGGGGCGGGGGGGGACUAUUGCAUGGUCUGUUGUUCUGUGCAUGCAUUGUACCUUCUAUGUGCGGUUUCCUUCGGUUAUAAUAAUAAAUAAGAAUAAUAAAACAUUGUGCUAAAAAGACUUGUAUCACCAGGCCACUCAAUUUAAAUCCACAGUGACAUGUCUGGGUGUGAUUUAACCCCUUCCACAGGAUAAGAUAAUGAAAGGUCAAAGUUCAAAGUAUUGUAGCAUUGAGUAGAAUUAUUUUUAACCACUAGACAGCAGCAAUCCUAUAUAAAAUAUAUAUUCUAUAUAUAUUUAAAUUCUAUUUAUCUACGCAUACAGACACGUAUAUCUGCCACCAUAACUAUUUUCAUUGGCUGUUGCGUGCCAGAUCUGCAUUCUAUAUUUGUUUGCAUGAACGAAAAGAAAAAAAAUAAUAAUCAAGAACUGAAAUAUAGUUGCUUGGAAAAUGCAAUCACUGUACACAAUGUCUCUUUUACUAAUGCUUUUCUGUACACAGUAAACAUCUUUCUGUGUACAGGAGAGUAAGUGUUUCAACUGUGACAGGUUACAGGUUUAAAAAAAAUAAUAAUAACAUAAUAAAAUAUACAGUGAUUUUUAAAUAUAGCCAGCAGUUUCUAAGGACAAAAAUGUGUUAUGAUGUAUAUCCCUACCCCUGUCUGUGAUAAACAGUAUUAUUUAAUGUUUUUAUAAUCGUAACAUUAUAUAUAUAUAUAUAUAUAUAUAUAUAUAUAUAUAUAUAUAUAUAUAUAUAUAUAUAUAUGUGCUGUAGCACAAAUUGUUUUUCUAUUUACAAUUUUCACAGUUAUGGAAAUUAGACAAAAUCUGUUUCUUACAAAAAAAAAAAAUCUAUGCUUUCAUUUGUAGCUGGCGUAUGCAUCUUGUUUUGUGAACUGGAGAGGCCUGGGAGAGAAGGGGAAUGAGCGUGGCAGAAGAGGGACACAGGAGGAAGGCAGCUGUAAUGAAAGGAUGAACAAAGACUGCUAGAGGAGAGAGAAUGGACUUCUAAACAAUCCGCCUUAUGAAAGCCAGGGAGACAUCUGUAACUUCCUAAAAACAGGAAAUCCAUAGCUCUGCAAUCCUGACCAGUUUGAUGCUUUACUGUACUGACGGGUCUUAGCCCUAAAGCUGGCUUUGUGUUAACUGCAAUGAAGGAAAAAAAAAUGGAGACUUUUAGUGAAAGUGUAUUCAGAUUUUCAUUAUGAAAGAUUGUCUAUGGUACUGUACAACGCAGCACAAUGCAGCCCAUAAAGCCCUGGAAAUUUUGAAUUGGGUAAGUUGUUUAAUCAGAGGAGAAGAAUUAUUAUUAUUAAUAUUUUUUUUUAUUUUUUUCACAAAAAGCAAGACAAUGCUUAGUUGAUUUAAUGUUUUCUUCUCUUAAAAUGACUACGUCUGGGAUUCAGCUUUUCAUACAUUUCCUUUGCAUUGUCAUUAGCAGGCUAGUAAACGUUCCAUAGAUUCCUCUGCUUUUCAAAGGCAAAUUCACAAUUUGCAUUGGCUUUUGAACCACUUAAUAAAGACAGCUAGAAGGUGAGCUGAAACAUGAGAUGUAUAACUGUGCUAUGCUUAUUUUUUAGUUUAAUGCAGUCUUCUUUGGGGGAAGGAGGGGGGGAUCUGGCAAUGUGACAUGGAAAUUGCAUGGGCAGUUUAAAUAGUUGUUUUUUUUGUUUUUUUUACAGUGACUAUUAAGAAUGUUGACAAGCAUAUUAAUCUGUUAUGAGUAUGCUGUUUUAUAUAGAUGUCCGCCUACACUCAGUAGUUUAAACCCUAAAAUUCAGGCCUUAAAAUGUAAAAUGUUGCAUUGCUAGAGGCUUAGUGCAAUACGUUAAUAUAAAUACGCUUGUGUCUGCUUUUCUCUCUAUUUUGUUCUUUUCUUCUUUCAUCCAUGCAUUGUGUUGUAGAGCUCUCUAUAAUUAAAGAAUAUUGAC